CUAUGCUAGCCCCAUGCAUUUCUAUGGAGUAUUUUGAGUGCUGUGUCUCCACAUUAGAAAGUCUCAGCCUACGUGCCUGCAUGCGUAUUGUGUCUCCUGCUCAAACAAAAUGUGUGCGCAUUAAUUUUGAUAAGUGUUCACUAAGUUACGUAAUACAAAAAUGUGAUAUAUGGCAAUAUAUGAACAUAUACAAAUAACAGGGACUUAUAAUUUUACUUAUAUGGACAUAUAUGUGAUUCAAAUAUUUAUGUCAAACAUAUAUUCAAAGCUGUAUGUCCAUACAUGCAUACAAAAUAUUUUAAUUUCCCAUAUAAGAUGCUUCAUAUACUAGAUCCAAUGAUUUGUUUUCCAAAUAUAUGGAGAAGUUUAUGUGUGAAUAUGUGACAGACUUAUGUAGUCUCCAUAUAUGGUGGCAUACAUAUCCAUACACUAGAUUCCACUAGGCCUACUUAUUUUCUAAAUAUAUGGAGAACUUUAUGUGUGAAUAUGUGGCAGACAUAUUUGUAGUCUCCAUAUAUGGUGGCAUAGCCUACAUAUCCAUACACUAGAUUCCAUUAGCCUACUUAUUUUCCAAAUGGAGAACUUAGUGUGAAUAUAUUUGUUUAUGUCACAGGUAUGGUGUCGACUAUGCUGCUCGGCAUCUUUUGCCUUAUGUGUCAAUGUUUUGGGUGGAGCAUUUGGGUUGCACCAUGUGCAUACAAAAAUGUGUGAGGCCAAAGCUCAUAAUGGAUGCUUGUCGUAUCUUGAUAUGCGCAUGCGCACACAGCAAUACCCAUUCCCCACCCUUGACUGACUUUUGAAGACCAACCACAGUGACUUCAACCGUCACUUUUCUGUCCUGUCAUGCAUCUGACUUUGUAAGCUGUACAAACUCUGCUGUCAUCAUAUCCAAGGUGGUGAUUUGUGAGGACUGCUGCCCUGAGAACACUGAGUGCAUUCUGCCAAAUCAAUGUGUGCCACUUCCAUACAGAGAAAAAAGGUUUCUACCUGGAGAGUUUACUCACUGUUUGUGUGGAAAAAAUAAACUUUAAUAAAAGGUUAAACAAA